GGGGCCAUGGCUCAGUGGUAGAACAUCUGCUUGGCAUGCAGAAUGUUCCAGGUUCAAUCCCUGGUGUCUCCA